AGAUUGUAGGCUGAAACUCGCCUAUAUGAAGUCGGAAUUGCUAGUAAUCGCGGAUCAGCAUGCCGCGGUGAAUACGUUCCCGGGCCUUGUACACACCGCCCGUCACACCAUGAGAGUCGAUAACACCCGAAGCCUGUAGUCUAACAGCAAUGAGGACGCAGUCGAAGGUGGGAUUGAUAAUUAGGGUGAAGUCGUAACAAGGUACC
rnacentral:rRNA from 1 species